GGGGCACCAGAGGCUGGGUCUAAUUAGUUGAGAAGCAGUGACAACCCCAACCACUCACCAAACAGGCUGGUUCCCAUCUCCAGGCCCCAAGGAGCCACACCUGGACCAGAUCCCAGGAAAGGCAACGGCACUGACUGGUGGGAGCCACCCCUGCCAUGCUAAUGUUGGAGAAGCAAGAACUCUGCAGAAGCAGCCUCCUGGGACCAGAAGAGGGCCAGCAGCGGGCAGCUCAGACAGAACUGUGAGCCCACCGCCCCUCCACCCCUCCGGCACCCACAUCCACUCCCCACCCCAGCCCACCUGCAGGCGGCUCCUGGAGUAACCUGGGUCCCUCAGGAUAAACUCCCCACCCCAACUUCAGAAUGACCAAGAAACCGGGCCUCAGGAUGACGAGAAGCAGAAUGGGCGUUGGUAAAGGAAGGCUCCCCACUGAUUGGUGGCAGUGUGGGCAAUUCAGGGCUGUCAGAGUCUGGGUUGUAGGUAAAAAGAAAUAGAACCCAAGAAGGGAAAUCCAACUAGGAGCCAAGAAUCCAGUCUACCCCAUUCUCCUUACAAAAUAGCAAUGCAAAGCCUGUGUGAUUUGGACAUAAAGCCUCUGUUAUUCAACUUGAUUUGGUGAAUAACAGACUUGAGAGAAAUGUGGGAAAAUAAUAGUAAUCUUCCCCAGAAAGUGAGCUCCUAAAGCAGGAAGACCUGGGGCUGUGUGAUCUUGGAUGAGUCACUCAACCUCUCUGAGGCUAGUGAUAAAGAGCCAGCUCAUAGGACUUUGAGAGGGUUUGUGAGGUUGGGCUGGUGUCCCCAGGCACGGCCCUUGGCACAUGGUGAAACUCAAGAACACAGAGCAGUUUUUACCAUUCAUCACAUUAUUUCCCACACUUGCCAAUUUUUAAAUUUCAUGUUCAUGGUGGAACAGGUAGGGCGAGGUGCCGGCUCCAUAAGACAAGUGGAGAAACUGAGGCCUGUGGAAGUGAAAGCAUUCGCUCAGAGUUGCAUGUAGGGUCGGUUGCAAAGGGGAACUCUGGCACCAGUUCUCAUGUGGAUGGAAAAAGUGCAGGAAGAUUUGGAGGUGAGCAGAGGAGAAGGGAGGAGGAGGCAGGGUUCCAGGAAAGGAGCUGACGCUCAGGGAUGUGGGACAAGUCGCAGGCCUGUCUUACAUAACAUGGUCCACCUGUUCACCUCUGCAUGCCCCACAAAUGUGUGCAAACGUGCACCCCAGCACAGCGCACACCCAGGCCUCCCUCACUAGCAAAUAAGCCACAGAGACUGGGUUUAAACAAAUUGGAUUAGGAGGGCUGCAGGCGCCUCCUCCCGCCGACUGUCCGGCUCCGACACUAAACAGGCCUGCAGAACUGCCAGCUGUGGUCUCUCGGACACACUGACAGUCGGUCCUUUGCUCCCUCACCCCACCCGUGGGCCUCAGGAAGGGGGCUGGGGUCCGAGAAGAUGCCACAAUGAUGGAUGGGGUGAGGGAUGUUCCAGGGCUAGCUCAACAGCACACAGGAUGUUAGUGCUUUUGCGAGGCACAUUUCCGAACAGUUCCCAGACGCACCCCCUCUUCCCCCCUCACCCUCCCCUCCGGCAGCCUCUCCCAUGGCCACUGCUGCUGUCUGGGACUUGGGCCCAGCCUGAGGCUUCAACCAGAGCCCUGUCCUUGAGCAGACUCACCUCAUCUUUCAGUCCUGCAGCUGGGCUGAGCGGGGAGUGGUCAGCUCAGAAGACACUGGCCUGGGGAUGAGAUACGGGGAAUGCUUUAGAGAGAAGAAAGAGCUUGUGAACAGGCAAUGCUGGUCUUAAAGGUGGCAUCUUGGUGCUUUCUCAUGCCUUGUUUUCUUUCAUCCUCAUAAUAUGGCUGAGGGUGAGGGGACGGGUGUGACUACCAAAACUUCCUUUCUUGGUGAUUCCACAACACCCCUUUCUGAUCCCUGAGCCUGUGCCAUGCCCGGUGUGAUGUGCCGGGGACACCAGGGUGAAUACUUACAGUCCCUGUCCCCCUUCCUUCACGGAACAGCCUCCUUUAGGCUGGGUCACUGGGCACUGGGGCCUCCCUGGUCUUCCAGGAUUGCAACUUCACAGAAUCCCUUUUCCAUAAGGCACAUGGAAGGGACUGUCACCCGCAACGGGAGCCUUGACAACCAGCCAAAUCAGAACACAGACCUUGAUGUCGGACGGCCCGGAGUUCAAAUCCUGCCUUGCUCUCUUUCAGCUGGAAAGCUGUGGUCAAAUUACUUAGCCUCUCCAAGCUGGUUUUCCCUUCUGCAAAAUGAGGAUGUACAAGCUGCCACCUCACAGAAUGACUGUGAGAAUUAAUUCUUAUUUUCCACACCCUCAUUUGCGAGGGGGAGAAACAGAAGCCCAGAGAGGGAAAGGGCUUGGUUAGGAUCACACCACGAGUUGGGGGUUAAGUCAGUAUGGGGUAGGUCCCCUCCUUCUCUGGGUGUUCCUCUCUCCCAUCCCUUAUCUCAACAUAAAUCCUCCCCAAUUGCCCAGGUUGUCCAGGCAAUUCCUGGCACAUGUCCUGGGGCCUGCCCUCCACCUUCAGCCCUGCUCUGGCCUCUGCAACAGCAGAGUCCUGGGUGACCAGCAAUGACCCCCGGCCCUCUGAGUGCUGGUAGAGGGUGGGGGAGCUCUGCGGCAAGCUCCCAGCCCAGAGCAGCCUGGCCAUAUAAGGGAAGGAGCCCAGGGAGGCCUCCUGGCUCAGGCCUGGCGAGAAAACCCAGACAGCCACUGUUUAUUUUCUCCUCCCCAGCUCACCCACGCCUCCCCAAGCCUCCCGACAGAAGACAGAGGUCCCCCACAGCCCAGAGACAUUUCCUGAAGACAUGGGGAGCACAGAGGUGGAAACAGCCCAUCCACCCAGGAGCGGCCCCCAACGCUGCCGGCAGCCAGCACCCAGAGCCAUCAGGUAAAACUGAGGCCACCUGGCUCAACAUUGCUUUUCACAGAAGGGGAAACAGCCACAGAGAGAAGGGCCUGGUAAGAAGUGCAACCUGGGACCCCCAAGUGGUGGCUCUCAUCCUGACCGGGGAUCCAGAGUAGGAGGGAGCCUUUGGUGGGGUAAGUGGAAUGGGGGAGGGGUAGCCAUAGACCCCUCUUCUCAGUGAGGCCCUCAGGAGAAGGAGGCAGGGGUUGGGACGAGUGCUAAGUGUGCAAGACUCCAGGGAAGAGCUGCUGGAGGCAGGAGAAGCCCCUCCCUCCCGGCCCCUCUGCCCCUCCUCUCAGCCCAGCUGCACUGACUCCUCCUCUGGGAAGCCUUCUCAGCUUCCCCAGGGGUGGGAACCUUUUUUGUCCUCUGAGUGUGCUUGGCUGUCCUUUCUAGGGCACGCUCUCUCUCUUUCUCUCUUUCUGUCUCUCUCUCUCUCUCAUCCCACUUGAGUCUGUCCCCUGUUCACCUUGUGAGGGGCAGUUUCCUUCUACUCAAUCUGACUGAGAUCCUCCAAGUCGAGGACGGUGUGUCUCUCAGUCCCACUUCCCCUUGGCCCAUAGAAGAGGCAGUGUGCUGAAUGGAGAGGUGAAAUGAUUAGACCCUGCCCCCGAACCUAAGGUCUGGCCAAUUGGUCAGGGCAUGAGACAUUCAGUGUAGAGGUUAAAAUGAGGGCCCUGGGUUAGGAACCCCAGUUCAGUUCCCAGCUCUGUACCCUUGGAAAAAUCCAUUCCCAGGGAGCUUUGUGGAUGCACAGGGACUUGCGUAAUGAAAACAUUCAAUAUCCAGGACUAUAAAAUUCCACAAAUGACCAUGCUUAUUACAUUCAUAAUCAUGAUGAUUAUUCCAGACACAAAGGAACAGAAUGAGGCACCAACAGCCAGGGGUGGGCAGAUUCAAGGCCCACAGAGGAAAUGGAGGCAAACACCUUCCCCUGGUCAGAGUCUGUGCCUCAGCCCUUCUCCCUGCAUCAGUUUCUCCUUCAGAAGCGUGGGACUACCUCCCAUCUAGUUCCUGUUUCUAAACCCAGGGGAGAUGCUAUCUUUGCUGCAAUAAUCUUAGCCUACAUCUUGGAAUGGAAAUGGCCUUGGUGGAAAUGGUCUUCAACUCCCCUGGUCCAAGCUCAGGCCCUGGGACCCUGGAACAAUCCCCUUCCCUUCCUGGUCCUCCAUGUAGAAGCAAUAACAUUCCGUUGCCAGCGGCACCAGCCGUUCUGAUGAUUAAAUGGGAUCGGACACUGUUUCCCAAACUCAGUCAUUCAGAUGCCCCCUAUUUUAUUUCUUCCAUGUCUGCAAACGAUUAUAAUAUUUUUAAAUGUAA